GAUGAACGCUGGCGGCGUGCCUAAUACAUGCAAGUCGAGCGAACAGAUAAGGAGCUUGCUCCUUUGACGUUAGCGGCGGACGGGUGAGUAACACGUGGGUAACCUACCUAUAAGACUGGGAUAACUUCGGGAAACCGGAGCUAAUACCGGAUAACAUUUGGAACCGCAUGGUUCUAAAGUGAAAGAUGGUUUUGCUAUCACUUAUAGAUGGACCCGCGCCGUAUUAGCUAGUUGGUAAGGUAACGGCUUACCAAGGCGACGAUACGUAGCCGACCUGAGAGGGUGAUCGGCCACACGGGAACUGAGACACGGUCCAGACUACUACGGGAGGCAGCAGUAGGGAAUCUUCCGCAAUGGGCGAAAGCCUGACGGAGCAACGCCGCGUGAGUGAUGAAGGGUUUCGGCUCGUAAAACUCUGUUAUUAGGGAAGAACAAAUGUGUAAGUAACUGUGCACGUCUUGACGGUACCUAAUCAGAAAGCCACGGCUAACUACGUG
rnacentral:rRNA from 1 species